GACGAACGCUGGCGGCGUGCUUAACACAUGCAAGUCGAACGGAAAGGCCUGCUUUCCCUUGUGGAUUGCGGGUACUCGAGUGGCGAACGGGUGAGUAACACGUGAGUGAUCUGCCCCCAACUUGGGUAUAAGCCUGGGAAACUGGGUCUAUUUCCCGAUAGGACUGCAGGGUGGUGCCUGUGGUGGAAAACGAUUUUCUAGUGGUUGGGGAUGAGCUCGCGGCCUAUCAGCUUGUUGGUGGGGUAAUGGCCUACCAAGGCGGCGACGGGUAGCCGGCCUGAGAGGGUGGACGGCCACAUUGGGACUGAGAUACGGCCCAGACUCCUACGGGAGGCAGCAGUGGGGAAUAUUGCACAAUGGGCGGAAGCCUGAUGCAGCGACGCCGCGUGGGGGAUGACGGCCUUCGGGUUGUAAACUCCUUUCGACCGCGAGGAAGCCACCUGGUUGGAAGGGUGGUGACGGUAGUGGUAGAAGAAGCACCGGCUAACUACGUG
rnacentral:rRNA from 1 species